rnacentral:rRNA from 1 species
AUACGUAGGGGGCGAGCGUUAUCCGGAAUUAUUGGGCGUAAAGAGUGCGUAGGCGGUUUCUUAAGCGCGGGGUGAAAGGCAGUGGCUUAACCAUUGUUAGCCUUGCGAACUGGGAGACUUGAGUGCUGGAGAGGAAAGCGGAAUUCCUAGUGUAGCGGGGAAAUGCGUAGAUAUUAGGAGGAACACCAGUGGCGAAGGCGGCUUUCUGGACAGUAACUGACGCUGAGGCACGAAAGUGUGGGGAGCAAACAGGAUUAGAUACCCUGGUAGUCCACACCGUAAACGAUGAGCACUAGGUGUCGGGUCCGCAAGGAUUCGGUGCCGCAGUUAACGCAUUAAGUGCUCCGCCUGGGGAGUACGUACGCAAGUAUGAAACUCAAAGGAAUCGACGGGG